UACGGAGGGUGCAAGCGUUAUCCGGAAUCACUGGGUUUAAAGGGUGCGUAGGCGGUCUGAUCAGUCAGAGGUGAAAUCUCCUUGCUCAACGAGGAAAUUGCCUUUGAUACUGUCGGACUUGAAUCAGGUUGAGGUGGGCGGAAUGUGGCAUGUAGCGGUGAAAUGCUUAGAUAUGCCAUAGAACACCAAUUGCGAAGGCAGCUCACUAGACCUGCAUUGACGCUGAGUCACGAAAGCGUGGGUAGCGAACAGG
rnacentral:misc_RNA from 1 species